CCUUGGUAGCCUGGUGGUUAGAGUGUUCGGAGAGUAACCAAAAGGUUGCUUGUUCAAAUCCAAGAGCCAGCAAGGUGGAAGAAUCUGCUGUUCUGCCCUUGAGCAAGGCAGUUAAUCCCCAAAACAAUUGGGUGCAGAUGAAGUUGAUUAAGCUGAAUGGAUUGCUUGACUGCCGUGAUGCCGUCUAGACACAACACUAAAUGGAACACUUCAAGUCUUUGGGAGCAAAUCAGCAAGUUUGCCUUGUGAAGUCAAAGAUCAUUCACAGCGUUGUGGAAGUUACCUGUGGUGCUGAUGUUUAGGCCGAGAGGACCUGAGCCCUAGGACCACGCCUAAGGGCUACCUGGCCUGGUGACUCCUUGCUGUCCAUAGUCCACCAGGUCAUGCUGCUGGUCCAGUUUCAACUGCUCUGCCUGGACGUGCUACCUUGUCCUGGACCUGCUGUUUUGAACCCUCUUUCUACCGCACCUUCUAUUUCGAACUCUGAAUGAUCAGCUAUGAAAAGCCAACUGAUAUUUACUCCUGAGCCAUUACAAUGAGCUCGUCCUCCUAUAGCUCCUCCUACCAGCCUCCUCUCAUGUGCAUGUAUGUGUGGGAAUGCAUGGAUGACCUGCACUGGCAGCAGAGCUGAUAAACCCCUUCAAGAACAAGAAGCCCUGCAUCUUCCUAUAGCUCCGCCCCAUCCCAGACUUGAACUGUCAAUCACUGACUUUGACCUCUGACCUCAAAACACUAUGGGAUACUCCGGUGAAACCCCAACCUCAAAGUGACCUUGAGGGACAGAGAGGUGAUGUCACUUCAAGGCGCUCACAGACCUACUGUAUAACUGUGAAUAUAUACUACAGUGAUAACUGAUAAUGCCC
ensembl:lncRNA